UAAAAUGGGUCCACUUAAGACAAACGAUAGGUGCUGCAUGUAGACAUAUAAAUAGGCCUUCACAUUGACCUAAUAAGUGUGUUUGCCCUAUAUUGCAAUAAUAAAGAGUCCCAUUUUAAUGGCCUAUAUUUCCUAUUGCAUAACGCACAUGCAAUAACCCAGACUACUGCAGUCAUAUCAUGGCUGUGGUGAGAUCACACGCACAACCAAUAUAAAUAUGUACAAGCUGUACCGCGCACGGCCACAUGGUGGCAGUAGGGAGCAGGGUUUCUGCUCGACUGAUUUGCUUUCACCAAUCACCGCAGGGUCACGUCUAAUCUAUAAAUCCACGCUGAACAGUGCUCGUUUCGACCAGUUGCCCACCUCCUCAAGCCAGGCCUUCUCCAGCCAGGCGCGCUGCGCAAGGUGAGAGUGAGCUAAUUACAAUAUUACUCUCUACAGUGCGCCGCCGUGUAAUGAAAUGACCGCAUCCACUUAGCUUAAAGCCAAUUUGGUAAGAUAGUGUAAUGUCACGUAGGUUGAAACACAUAAAUAACCAGCUAGUCCCUGUGUUGAUAUCAUAACAUGUUUUAUGACCACGAUGAAGCAUAGAAAUCUUCCUACAAAGGAGGCCUAGAUAAAAGAUAAAACAACCCUCUCUGUCUGUUUGAUCCAUUAGACGCAGAGACAAACGCUGGUGAAUGAGAAGAAUAACACGGGAUUGAGAGUACUCGGGGGCGGUUCGCUCUGAUGCGGGGCAGCAAUCAAUUGCUCAUUCUUACCCGGACGACAGCGGCCUGCAGCCCUCAGAGACGCUAAUUCAACCACCAGUCAGCCUGUUUGGAUCCCGGCUGGACGUUUGUAAAGAUUCACAGCGACCACGAGCCAACUCCGCUGUGUUUGAGGACCGCCCCAGGCUGCCUCGCCUCGUCCAGGAACCGCCGGGCCGCGGGGCUGAUGGCUCAUUGUGCCGCUCCCCGGUCAGCCGCAGAUUACGGGGGGAGGGGGUCUCAUGCUCAAUGAUUUGAUUGUGCUGUUCCAGUCCUAAGGAGCCUGACCAGAGAGCGUCUGCGGGCCCGCCAGAUGAUGAGGACGUCCCAGAUGAUGAGGACCUCUGAGAAGAACGCCAUCCAGCCCACCCUGCUGGGGAAUAAACUCACGGCAAGGAAGGUAGUCGCCCCGCUGGGGUGCUGGAUCUCAAAUGACCUGCCUGGACUUCUAUUUAAACCUGCUGUGGGUCCGCCGUGGGCCUGUAUACCAAUGUAGUACUGCAGGAGACGGCCCUAUGUCCGUUCCUCUUCCCCCUGUAAACCUUGGCCUCUGUCCACCAUACACUAUCCGCUUGGACACCAAGCUUGACUGGACAGUGUUCUCCAUGUCAGUCUACAUGUAGGGGCAGACUCUACCUCCUGAGGAAGUGAGCUGCCGACAUUAGAAGACCGAUGGGAGCAUGGUGCGGAUGCUCUGUGAGUAUCUUCUAGGCUUGGGUGAAUCUGGAACAGCAGCAUGACUAAACAGCUUGUUAAGUCCAACACUCUCCUGACAAUGAUCAGGAUGGCCGGCGUGUUCUGGGGUGGAACUGGACCCCCUGUAGCCGUCAGAGAAAAGAGGCUGUCCAAAACCCCUCUCUACCCUUGACAAUGACUCCGGACUGCAGUCUGAACAGAGAAGUCUGUUCAGCAGUCGACGCCUGGCAUUGAGGAGGUCCACCGGGUGGUACGGGAAAACCUUAAUUCCUGUGGACAGAGAAGUCUUUAACUCCUCUCACCACCGCCAGUCAGCAGGUCAUUCUAUACUGCACUGUCGUGGAAUUCAGUCAAUUUGAACAUUUUAGGAUUUAUCGUAUCAAGAUGAUCUGUGCUACAUACCUGUGACAAUUUAUUUAAUUUCAGUUACAUAGCUACUUCAUUUUAUAUACAAACAUUCAGCGAUGAUACAUUUCAUCAUAUUUGAUCCAUAAUUAGAAUAUGUAUAUUUAUGGAGUGUUUUGUGUUUGUAUUAAUUUUUUUAUGUUUGUUCUAUUUGCAUUGAAGUUUCUGGCUUGUGAUUAGAGACUGUCACAAAAUAAAUUCUUCCGGGAUCAAUAAAGUAAUCUGUACCUAUUUCUGUUAACAA